rnacentral:rRNA from 2 species
UACGGAGGAUGCAAGCGUUAUCCGGAAUCAUUGGGCGUAAAGGGUCCUGAGGUGGUUUGCUAAGUCUACUGUGAAAGAUCAGGGCUCAACCCUGAAAAUGCGGUGGAAACUGGCAGGCUAGAAUACGGUAGGGGCAGGGGGAAUUCCCGGUGUAGCGGUGAAAUGCAUAGAUAUCGGGAAGAACACCAAAGGCGAAGGCACCCUGCUGGGCCGAUAUUGACACUGACAGACGAAAGCUAGGGGAGCAAACCGG